rnacentral:lncRNA from 1 species
AUCUGAGAUUUAUAUAUAAGAUCCCAACAGCAGUAGAACUAAUAGUCAAUGUAGCAAACUAAUUUAUUUCAGUAGUAUACAACAUAAUAGUUUCUUCCUUUGGUUCCUUACAGACAACUGCUGCAGAGCCCACUUGUUCCUUUCUGCAAAAGCACUUUACCUCUAUUCAAAACUGUGUGCAUUUACUGUAAGGCUUCCAUGCUUAUUCAAGUUGAUAUUCCAUCUUCAUUAUAAAGUUGAACAGCAAAGAGGGUAUAUAUGACUGCUGUAGGUGAUAAGUUGGCAUAACAAAUGAUUUCACUGAGCACCUAUUUAAAAGUUAAACUGUAACUGAGGAUCCUUUUUGCCCUCAAAGCUGUAGCUACAGCGGUUUGUGAGAAGCUUCAGGGUAAGAUGUCCUAGUAAAGUGAUGAUAAACUAUGGUAAACUUGCUUAUUGAGACAUUAUGACACUAGAAGCAUAUUAAAGCCCAUUGAGUUUAUCUUUUUAAAGGCAUAGUCUGGCCUCUUUUAAGAGUAGCUGAAUUUAUGUUGACACAACUGACUCCUCACCUUUCUUUUUCUGUGAAGGACCAGCUAGUCACAGGUUACAGGCACUACAGUGAAAUACCAGUUAAUUCUUAUAUCAGGAACUACUGUAUUAAAACAAGCAUUAAGGUAUUUUACCUAAACAUAAAAAAAAAAAUAAUACAGCACAGCUGAAAUUAUGCUUUGGUCCUGCUGAUUAAGCAGGAAUGCAGUUACAGGUAUAAAGCAUUUUAGUGUUUUGAAUGAGAUGGGUGCGAAGGGCACAGUUUGAAAAACUUCACCCAGGCUUACAUGUGAUGCAAAGAGCCUGAGCUGACACAGGUAUAUUUUCCAGCAUUGUCAGUUUUUACUUUUCAACCACCAAAUACUGGAAAAUGUCCAGGGAAUGUAAGAUUCAAAGAUUAUAAGAACUAUAUUCUAGCCACAUGUUCAGAAGCAGUAUGAGACAUCAAAAGUAAUUACACAGCUUCAUCCAAAUUUAUUUAUUAAGGUAACAACAUAUUACAAAUUACUGCAAGCCUUUACUAAUCCUUUCGUUACCAUCUCAGGUUUGAGUGACGUGUCAUACUUCCGCGAUAAAUGUCAGUAUGAGUUAUAAUAAAAGCUUAGAAAAGAAUUAGCAACAAGAAGUAACAGUAUAAACAUCACAGUAACAUAAUCAUGACAUCAUCUAAAUGCUCUAGGGUACCUCCUGACCAGACAGCUCAAGUCUCAGGUCAUAGCAAGUAAAGGAAAAACAUAAAUAAUGCAGCUUACAUACUUCAAUUACAAAGCAGCAAGCACAAAAGCAUUUAAUUUUUCGUAACUGCACAAAACUAUACAGUAUUUUAAUCAAACAGAUCUAAUGUUUUACCUUUCCUCUAGACCUACUUUCUAGGCUCAACUCCAUCUCUGGUAAUGGACAGCAAAAUACCCAAAUUAAAAUGUAGAGCCUCGAGUACCUUAAAGACUUUUGUUAAUGCAAGCCUCCCCUCGUUACUGCAGUUUCAGUGCUUCUUCUGCUUCUGUUUGAAUCGUCAUACCACAAAAACUCCUCUGAAGUGCCAACAGUGUUCACCACUCGGCUCCUUGCAAAGUUCGUGAUUGUAAUUUAGCCAAGAAAGUGGCACAAAACCAGCAAUAAAUUAAAGCACAGCUAUCCCACUUAAACUACCUUUAAAAAAAUUACGUAGAUGCAUAUUGUAAACAGGUGUCUUAAAACAUGCUUCUGAGCAUCUGCUACCAGAAUAUUUUUUCCCCAGUCCUGUCUGCAAUGGGACACAUCAGACAACAGCACACAGGAAGAUGUCAGCCUCUCCACAAUUUCAGGUGCAAGUUUCCCCGUUUAACGUUUGUGCUGAAGGUACUGUGCUGCCCUUAAUACAAGACCAGGCUUUUAGUGCCAACACGAUGCAACAUGUCCUGUAAGUAGGAACACGCACAAUUUUGAGUCUAACAAUGCUAACUCGAGAUUACUUUGGAAUCAAGGCAACACGGAUUAUCAAAGGCAGCCCCUCCUUCCCUUGCAAAGCCUGAUCUAAUACUACUUCGUUACGUUAAUUAACACUUGCACUUUAUUCCCCCCAGAGAACUAUUUAGUACAGUUGAGGGGUGGGGAGAAAAACACACUUCCAAAAGGCCUUGAUGUUCUAAUGCUCCCAAAGCACUUGAUCUAGGAAUAAUCCUAUGAAAACUAUCAUUGUAGCAAUUCUCACUGAGCUCAGCUAGAAAGAGCCAUUUAGUGAAGUGACAAAAAGACAUGAUUCAAGGUGAUCAUGCAGAGUAAAGCAGGGUAUAUGCUACACAGAUAGCACGCGCACACAUAUUUACAACUACACUAUAAUCCUGAAUACUGUUUGUUUCAAAGACAUGGUGGACCUAACACCAUCUUCCCUGGGGAGCAACGCAGCUCCCUUAGUCAAAGUCACGAUUUGUAAGAACCAGCGGAGCAACCAGAGUCCACACAUACAACACAAUGCCAAUCCAGCUGGAAGAUAUCUUCACCCAGACAGACGGCCAUUUGCUGGUCAUUGUCUCAUAAGUAGAAUCCGGGCUGUACCAGUUGGUAAGUGUCAUCAUGAUAUACAGCGAUGCCAGGAAAAGCAUAAAAUGGAAGAAGGAGUAGCUGUAAGUAACUCCAUCCCUUUCGUUAUCUAUGGCACGGUGAACAUCAUCUCCAUCAUCAAGGGAGCCAUCAUUCCUGGGCAUUCCAUCUUCUAUCAGAGUUGAUUCAUCACUGGUCAGCAUCAGCUUAUUAACUUGGCUGUUAUUGGAUGUUCGGAUGCUUGAGUAGAGAACACACAGCAAAAACAAAAUCAGUCCUACAAUUCCUUGCGCAUCCCACCACUGCACUACUUGACCUUGGGUUGGAAUGGUGGUGGUAUUGUAACCAAUGAUGCUCAGCAAACUUGGGUUACAGCGCCUGUCUGGUUCGUUGGUCAUAGCUGACCAAGUCAAAUACAUGGUAUAGAUGGUAAUCACAGAAGACUGCAGCAAACCAGAUCUUGGCUGAGAUUCCUGAAUCCUUGGCAGAAUUGACAUUACGGAAGCACCGAUACACAGUAGCAUAUUAACACUGAUGAAUGUCUUGUUUUCAGAACAACCUUCUGGAUGAGUGUAAUAAACGUAAAACAAGACAAUAGCUACUAGAGACAGUAGAUAAUUGACAGCUGUAGCUGAGAGCAGAGCUGCAUACCAGCAUCUUGAGUUUCCUUCCUCCAUUUUUUCAACCCAAGAUUCAUUCCAGGAGUGAGCAAAGUCAAUAAGCAGGACCAGCUGAAUAAGAAUAAAGCAGAACGCUCCGGACAUACCUACAUAAAACCACACAGUAGUAAAAGGUCCCUCUGGGAUGAAGAAAGCUCCAACGCUAAUCGCAAGCGCUGCUGCAAAUUUAAAGAACCAGAAUCCAUUGUGCACCGCUGCUCUUGGAUCGUUGCUGCUCUUCACUUUGAUCAUCAACAAGGAGAAGAGAAGAAAGAACAUUGCCAUACCAAAGCACACACGAUAGACCGCUUUGUAACCAACUAACACAUCGCAAUUCACAUGGCCAUGAACACCAGGAAUAGUUGUUCCCAUCCCUCCGUCGCAAAAUCCAGGAAUCUUCUUCAGCUGUUCUUCCAUUCCUGGAAUUAACAUUACGCAGGCCACGCUCACGCCGAGAAGCAAGAAGAAGGCAUAGAUCAGCCUAGUGAUGGUGGAGUUGUUUCCACUGGGGCAGCACCUGCAGAGCAGGCACGGGGCACUUCCACACAGACAUGGUAUCCAGCUCGCCAUGGAGCAGAGGCCCAAGACACCGCCCAUGGCUGGCGGUGGACUCGGACUCCGGCUCCGCCAAGAUGGACGUACGCCUCCAGCUGCGCUGUUUACUCUUCGCCGCAGCACUUCCGGCAGCUCGGGCGGCCGCGUAGCGUCACUUCCGGAGGGCGGCAGGAGGCGGGCCGGUGACAAAGGUUGAAUGGAACUUGUGCAGCUGUUUUUUACCCUUGCAGUCUGCUGUGUGCCCAUGCUGCGGGUUGAGCGGUGCCGUUGUGCGGGGCGGACGUUCGGGUCAGUGAGAUAGCCUGAGUGUGGUGGGACCGGGUGUGCCCUGCUGUAGGAAGAAGCCCAGCUGUGGCUCCGCAGGCUGCUGGCGAGCCCUGCGCUGCUACCGCGGCCUUGCCUCACUCAGGGUUAGCGUGUGCUGGGUGUUGGGAGUGAAAUGGCUGCAGGGAUACAGCCACCACUGGUUAACAUCUCAAAUGCAUCCACUGAGCAGGGUGGCUAUCGCGGGUAGGCUGCAAUUCAUUGCAGUGUUUCUGCUCUGCAACGCAAUCCCACAGUUGCAGACCUAAUUUAAGCCACCCUCUUGCAGCAAGCCUCAAAUCUCUGUACAGGGAUCGCUUUCACUGUUUGCUAUGUGCUAAACUGUGGCUCAUGCCACGGGUGGGUGCUGGUCAUGUCCCUACAGGCCAACCUCUGACUUUAUCCACAGGCAAGGCCAGUUAGCUUUACCCGUAUGACCAUCACAUUUUAUUUUACCUCCCCAAAUGCAUUCAACCUCUGCUUCUUUCUUCCUUCCCUGUACAUACCUAAAGCUGGUUAUACUUGAAAGCCCAGAGUUGGUAAGUGAAGCCCCUUCUAUAGCAGUCACUAGUGCUUGGUUUAUUGUUUCCAAGCAUAUGCCACAAUUAUUUAAUGAGUUAGAGCUGGGCAGGCAUAGUCAAUGUCUCAUGUACCUGAAUAGUAUUUCCAGGUAGGCUACGUUGCAUGACUCUGUAAGAUUUUCAUCAUACCAGACUUAUUAGUGGCUGUAUAACUUAAUUUCACUAGUACUAAUAAGAACGUCAGAAACAAAAAUGGUUUAUGAAAUAAUGGGGUGAUCGGGAAAUAAGAAAAUGUAAAUUUUAACAGUAUAGGUAAUAUUAGUUACUUCAUCUGCAAAAAUACGACCAUCUCAUUUGUCCAGUGGAUUUUAAUAUCCUAAAUUUAUCCACCUUUUUCUGGCCUCUCUCUUUUACUGCUCUACCCAAGCAGCACAGGGGAAUUGGGAACAGGGGCUGUUGUCAAUCCCUAACGCUUCAUCUUCCCCCUGUAGGGAGUCCCUUCCCACUGUCCUUCCUGAAAAUGCUGUCCUUCCUGAACUAAUCCUGCAUGAGUUCUCAUGGGCUGCUGCUCUUCAAGUACAGCUCCAACAUGGCUCUGUGCCUCGAGGCCCAUCCUUCAGGAACUGCCCUAGCACAGGGCCAAACCAGCAGCAGCUCCCCCAGACUUCUUGCUUGUUGCCUCUUGUCUUGUUGCCAGGCACCACAGAAAACAGCCUGGCUCCAUUCUGUUGAUACCCUCCAUUACCAUAUUUAUACACAUUAAUAAGGUCCUCUCUCAGUCUUCUCCAGCUCUCUCAACCUUUCCUCAUAGGAGGGAUGCUUUUGCCCUUUAAUUAUCUCUGCCGGAGGCACAACCAGCAUUGCUCAUGGUUCAACUAUGACCAGUAGUGCUUCCCUUUUGAGGCUGGCUGGAGGUGUCUCUGGUCUGACAUGGGGCAGCCACUAGGCUCUACUCAUAGAAGCCACCCCUGCAGUCCGCUGCUACCAAAAAACUUGACAUGUAAGUCUAAUAGAGGAUCAUUAUUAUUUUUCUUCCUUCCUUCCUUCCUUCCUUCCUUUCUUCCUUUCUUUCCUACUUCAGUAUUCUUGCAAUCUGUACUCCUUCUCAUUGCAGAAACCCCUGAUAGCCCAGUUUCUACACAGACCAACCUAAUAUCUUUUAUUUCAAAAUAUUAAAUCACAUCAUUGUUCUCAGAUUACUUAAUUAUUUCUGUUGCCUUAUUUGUGGCAUCUACUGUGGAAAGACAGUGAAGCAUUAUGUGCAUUCUAGUGAACCAAGUCCUCCUUCAUCACAAAUCUUUUCCAAGAAAUUGUGUGAAAGCAAUCUGCUACAGGAAUUUAUCUUCUGGAAUUUAUCUUCAAGUGAAAUGCAGCUUGCCUGGCAGCUAUUAAUCAUACUGUGAAAUCUUGGUUGUCUAGAAACCAGUAAUUUCUCAAAAUUGUUCUUCAGGAAUUUGAACAGCUCUAUUUUGGCUGUUCAUAGGCUGCUAUGGAAAUACCUAGAAUUCUGUUUACCUUCAGCAAUGAUGAUAAGUACUUUCUUUUGUUCUAGAGUUUAAGUACUUGCUAUCAUUCCAUAUGCCAAAGCCCUCUUGCAGCAUUUCUGUGUUUUAGUCAUUUCUUUAUUUUCAUUGCAGUGUGUGCAUGUUAUUUGGCCUGAAGCGGGAUAGAAUCCAUCACUCUCAGAAACCUGCCUUUCUAUAAACCUUUUUAUAGAUACAGAUAAGCCUUUUUAUAAACUCCACAGAUGUUUUGUCUGUGGACUUCAUAUCCUCAGACCACUGAGAGGAAUGCAAGCUACAUAGAAGAAGAUACAAUAGAUGGGCUUAUAUUUUAGGUAAGGCUUUUCCAAAUCCAUAAUUUUAUGUUAAAAGCACUGAAGAUGUAAGGACUCCAAAUGCACAAUAACGCAAGGGCAAUCUAGGAUGGGAGAGAGAGAAAGAAGCUUUAUAGACGCCGAUUGUAGCGAGAGCAUGUUUAGAUAGCAUCUCCUUUCUGCCCCCGUUCUCUGCCCAGGCAUUGCAUGAGCCCAGCCUGGGAUGGACGGACUCCUUCCAUAGCAGUUAACGCCACAGUGCUAGGAAGGAAUUGACCGGUGAAGAUGAGACAGUAAGCAGAAAAAGCGAAUGUGUAGGAGAAUAAAAGAUAAAUAAAAAUGGACGGUAGCAGUAGAGGAGCCUCCCUCAUAUUUGAGCUAUCAUCGCUUCACGUGAAGCAUCAGCCUAGAAUUGUGAGAAGGAACAGCCUCCGGAGCUGAGGGAGGGCGCGGGGGGGCUCGCAGCCGUCCCUGAGGCGUGCCGCCCCUAGGGGGCACUGCGACACCGGAAUGGCGGCAGCGCCCGGCCGCGACGCGCGGCGUGUGCGCGGCAACCGGAGAGGCCCUGGGCGGGCUCAGAGCGGCGGGCUGAAAGAGGGCCCGCAGGGGUCAGUGAGCGCUGCUCUACGCGACAGUCGUGAGCUCUAGUUAAGUGAAAGCUACAAAAAUCGGGGUUUUAUCCCCUCAGUCCCUUAAAUCAGAUAGCAAUAAAUUCUGUGAUAACAGAUGAAGAUGUCCAGGCUUACGUCUGUUCUGAGGGAGAAGUGGAGCACAAAAUAAAUAGCAUUAAGCACGGGCAUAACAUCCUUGUCUCUGGUAGACUGUGCCAAGGCCCAUAAAGGAGAGAUCUGAAGUGACCAGAGCUCAGAGGCCAUGAUUUUUAGGGACUGGAAUCCGAUUAUGAGUCAAAAAAAUAAGGCUGUGGAAUAAAUAUUUCUCUUUAUUCUCCUCUUAUGGGUGGUUUUCUUAUUCUGUCAAACAUUUAUGCACAUCAAAAUCUAGUGUUGCAACAGAUUUAAAUGGGGAAGCUUUAUUAUGGCUUCAAGCUGUCUCAGGGGAGGUUCAGGCUGGACAUUAGGAAAUAGUGCUUCUCUGAAAGAGUGGUCAGGCACUGGAAUGGGCUGCCCAGAGAGGUGGUGGAGUCACCAACCCUGGAGGUGUUCAAGAAACGUUUGGACGUUGUGAUGGGGCCAUGGUUUAGUGAGAACUAUUGGUGAUGGGUGGAUGGUUGGUCUGGGUGUUCCUGUGGGUCUUUUCCAACCUUGGUGAUUCUAUGAUUAUAUGUUUCUAUAAAAUUAGUCAUCUUCAAAAGAUAUUACUAUAUUACUGAGUAGAAAUUGAUAAACAACAGGCUUUUUUUUUUUUUUUUUUUUUUUUUUUUUUUGAAAUAAGGGUUUAAUCCUUCUUUGGGAAAGACUGAAUAACAUAGGGUGGUUCUGUACAGCUGCUGUCACAAAGCACAGAACAAAACACAUCAGACUACAGAUUGCUGUCGCUCUGCUCAUGGCAGCAGUAGGUAAAAUGACGGCUGGGCACAGGCAUUAUAAGUAAGGGAGGAAGACUAAUUUCUACCUCUGUUAUUUUCUGCUUGGGGAAAAAAAAUACACACACACACACACACAAAAUGCUCUCUAAGUGUAAAUUAGCAAGACAGCUCCACGUCACGACAUAAUGCUUUAUCUUCUGAACAGGAAAAGGCAGGAACAUUUGUGAUAGAACACCUUCAAUUUGAGCAGCCUAGUAAGAUUCAGUGUUUAAAAAUAAUGAGCAUCUUGUGCACUGCUGCUAGCAUUGUGCCUUUUAUCAUUGUGUGACAGAUGCACUUAAAGCCCAAAAUUGACAAUUUUCAGUCUAUU